ensembl:lncRNA
GAGGAAGGAUCUCUCUGGAGAUCACUCGUCUUGGAGACCUUUUGGUGAGCCCAGGUUAUGGACAUCUGUCUGGACAAUAAUCCAAGGAUUGAGGAAAGCCAUUGAUGCUCACCACCACUGUGGAACAUCAUAGCAUCUGCAGACUAUAGCUGGUACUCAUCAGAAGGAAAAAAAGAAGGAAGGACACAAAUUGUCUAAUAAGUUUACUACUAUGUGCAGGAGAACCAGUGCAACACAAAAAAAAACAGGUAUUUAUAGACAUUGAUCAGAUCCCCCUCUGAGCCUUCUCAUAUCUAGGAUGUUCAGUUCUGGCGCUCUCAACCUCUCCUCACAGAAGAGCUACACCAGACCCUUCAUUUUACUUGCUCUUUGCUGGAGUCUCAGUACCUCCAGGCCUCCUGGGGAGCCCAGUGUUUAACAGAGAAGGAUGACCACUCAUGCUGCUGGCAACCCUUGGCCUAAUACAGCUAAGAAUGCCAUUAACUUUUUUUCUUUCAGCCAUGAAUAUUGUUAUGCAUAUAAACUAUUUUUGAAAGAGUCUUUUUGGAAAAUGUCUUCAUGCUUCAGGACACAGGUCAAACUCUUAACAAAUGAGACUUAUAAACUUUUCUCCUCUACCAGUUAUGCUAGAUGACUUUAUUUCUGGGUUUUUGCACUUUAUGCUUUUCUGAUGUGGUGCUUCCAGUCCGUUUGUCAUUAGAACACCGUUAACUAUUCUGAUGGCCACAGUACAUCUUUGUGAUGAAAGAAAUGUCUAUAGAGGUUUAUCUGAGUUUCUGAAUAUCUGACAAGACUAGGGAUCAAUAUGAAUUUGUUAUCUUACUAUGAAGACCUCAAAACUGUGUGAAUGGGAAAGCCAUAGUACGAUGACUGAAUGCCAUUUACAAUAUUCUAUUUUCUAGUCUUUUUCUCUGGACAGAAACAAAACAAAAUCAAACCUAAUCAAAACCUAACGUAGUGAACUAGAAGCAAUCACUUGUCCACUGCAUGCAGCACACUAGCUAAAGAAAGCAAAUCAUGAUCUCUAAAUUAGUGUUGACCUAUGCCAGUUGGUCUAGAGUACACAGUGAAAGGGCACAAACAAAUAGCAGAUGUGAUGUGGAAGCAGGAAAAUUGUUGCUGUAUGAGCUCCAGUGUGGCACCAUGUGGUCACGGGAAUGUUGCUUUUGAACCAUCAUCAUUCCUUUAGGGCUAACAUAUAGUGAACAAUUUUGAUAUGUCUUUCAGCCACAGUGUAUGCUAUAAGAAAUAAAAAUGAUAUGUGGGGAGCAGUGAACCCUCCACUGUCUAGUGACUGUAUUAUUUCAGCUGGAUGACUGAGGCUAACACUGGUUAAAGAGACAUAAGUGUUCUUUUCAUUUUUGUUUCUUCAUGAAGGAGAGGAAAGCUUUAUUCAUUAACUGAUUUAGAGACUUGAGAUCAUGAAUGUCCAAAACCAAUCUCACCUAAUAAUGGCAUUGUCUUUUAGAAGAGAACUAUCCACAGAGCUUUCACGCAUGUUUAAAUGCAGACAGUGUGUAUGACAGUAACAUAUCUUGAGUAGCUCUUCCAAAUUCCAAUUCAGUGUGCAAGACAGUAUCUGUUGCCUCCUAGGAGGGCCUGUGUCUUCACACAAGUUUAAGGGCAUUUGGAAGGCGCUCAGAUAAUGCGAUGAUACUUAAAUAGAUAGACAUAGUGUAUUUCAGCCAGUAAAUGACAGUAGAGAUUUAAGUAUUCAGAAUGUAAUUAUCAGAGCUGGAAUUUGGCCAGGACAUUAACUGA